rnacentral:lncRNA from 1 species
CCCAGACCCAAGGCCCAAAGGCCCCACUCUAAGGUCCAAAGGGGCUCCACCCCAUUCUCUAACCGGACUCAGUCUCUGGCAAGGACCCAGGCUGCCAUCCGCACUCCCCAGACGCACGUGGCCCACCCUCCGCCCGUCCCGCGCCCACCCCCUCCCUCCAGUACCAGAGCCCUAGCCGGCGGCACCCGGGCACCCUUCUGGCUCAGAGCCACGCUCCACGAGGGGGACCGAUCUGUUCACUUGCCCCGUCCUGGGGGUACCAGAGUAGCCAGCGCGACGCCUUCCGCACCUCGCCUAGGCCGCCCUUGUGCGGCCGUCCUCAGUCCCUGCCACCUUGCACGACCCCAGGAGGUACCGGCAUCUUCUUGGGGUUCUUACCGGCCGGGGUUCGGUGCGCUCCGCCGUCUGCUGGGCCGUCCGGGGCGUCGUCUGCGGUCCUGGAGGCGGCAACCAGGGCGCUCACGGCGCCGACCGUCCGCAGCAGGGUCGGGUUGCGGGGCGCGGCGCGGAGGACCGCGCGGGGCUCGCGGCGGGCAGGAGGCGACGGCGGCGGCGGCGGCGGCAGCAGCGCGCGCAGGGCGUCCAGCUCCGCUCGAAGCUCCGCGCGCAGCGCCUCAAUCUCGGCGCCCAGCUCCGCGCGCACUGCCGCCAAGCCCCUCUGCAGCCGCCGCUCGCUCACCUCCAGGACCCCCACCGGGUAGGUGGCCCCGCCGCGCGGCUCUCCGCACACCGAGCACACGGAGUCGCAGCUGUGCGUGCCAGUACUCUCGUCCACGCCCGCCGCCCUGGCCCGCGCACGCUGCACCAGCUCCAGCAAAGCUGCCUGGGCCCGGAUCUGGCUGCGCAGGCGAGCCAUCGGGCCCGGUGCUCGGGCGUCUUCCCGGCCGGGCCCAUUGGAUUGUGGCCCCGGGUCCCGCGGCGCCUCGCUGGCUCCGUACGCACUUUGCGCCUGGGCCCCAAGCUCCGCCAUCGGCACUGCUGCCUCCACCGCCGCCAGCGCCCGGGAUGGCCGGAAGCCUCAGGCUGCAGCCUAGCGACCGCUGGGGCCCAGGCGACGCACUGUGGAGGGGGCCCUCGGGAUGGCUGUGGGAACGACCAAAGCCCUGGGGGAUCCGGCCUGGGGCGCGGUGA